UGGUGUGUUGACUGAAGAGGAAGUAUCCAGCUGUUUAUCCAACCUGGGACACUCUGCCACUGGACUAGAGCAGGUCUACCAGUUCCUCUCUGUGCCUGGUCGAAAUCUGAAUAAUGUUUCCAUCCUAUGCAAUUAUGUCCACCUUCAAAAGCUAGAACUUCCUUACAACAAAAUAAAAGAUUUAUCCUGUGUAAGCCACAUGCCGUAUCUCAUCAUCCUGGAUGCCUCCCACAACCAACUCACCGACUUCUUUGGAUUCCAG